rnacentral:rRNA from 1 species
AUGGUGGGGGAGGCGAUAUUGACUGCAUGUCAUGUCCUAAACCGAGUUCCCACAAAGAACAAAGAGAUAACUCUAUUCGAGGAAUGGGAGAAGAAAAGGUUAAAACUCUCUUAUCUACGAACAUGGGGUUGUUUGGCGGAAGUCAAUAUUCCAAUUCCAAAGAAGUGGAAGCUUGGACCAACGACUGUGGUUUGUGUUUUCCUGGGAUAUGCUUUUCAUAGCAUUGGCUAUAGAUUCUUGGUUGUAAAAUCUGAGGUAUCUGACAUACAUGUCGGUACGAUCAUGGAGUCGAAUGAUGUGACUUUCUUUGAAGAUAUCUUUCCCAUGAAGGAUAUGGCUACCUCAUCUAAUCAGGAGAUGCCUAGUUCAUCGAAUCAGGAACCAGUUACAAUUACCGAACCUGCCAUUUCGAUGGAACACUUUGAAAGUCCCGUGGAGGAGAACUAUGAAGUUCCUACUAGGAGCAAGAGACAGAGGACUGCAAAGUCUUUUGGUGAUGAUUUUCUUGUGUAUCUCAUAGAUGACACUCCCAGUUCUAUUUCAGAGGCCUAUGCAUCUGAAGAUGUUGACUACUGGAAGGAAGCGGUUCGUAGCGAGAUGGAUUCCAUCUUGGCGAAUGAAACCUGGGAGAUAACUGAUCGUCCUUAUGGCUGCAAACCUAUAGGAUGCAAAUGGGUAUUCAAGAAGAAGCUUAGGCCUGAUGGUACUAUUGAGAAGUACAAGGCUCGGCUCAUGGCUAAGGGUUAUACCCAAAAGGAAGGUGAAGACUUCUUUAAUACUUACUCAUCUGUGGCUCGACUGACCACUAUUCGAGUUCUACUUUCACUAGCUGCCUCGCAUGGUCUUCUCGUUCAUCAAAUGGAUGUUAAGACUGCUUUCCUAAAUGGAGAGUUGGACGAGGAAAUUUAUAUGGAACAACCAAAUGGGUUUGUACUAGAUGGUCAGGAAGGGAAAGUGUGCAAGUUGCUG